rnacentral:lncRNA from 1 species
AUAUAUAUACAUCGCUGGAGUACACUUACAACAUUUUGUAGUUACAAAAACAGAUGCAUAUAUAUGAACAGUUUGUGCAAAAUAAAAGGCUGCCAAUAGUCCAAUCAAGAGGACCAGAUAUAUGUUCACAACGCUUGCACUAAGGUUGGGUACCUUACAUUUUCUUGUAUUCUUCGGAGUGAAACAUAGUAAUCUCUGCCAGAGAGCUCUUAUAUGGUAUAUAACAGCAUGGAAAGUCAUCCCGAUCUUAAAAGAAGAACAAACUCUUCUGAAGCAUCUUGUGAAGGCAAAAUAAUAAUCAUCGAAUCCAAUAUACUAUACACAAGGAAAUUUUUCGAGAGAACAAUAUAUGGAAGAAAGCACCAUGCCAGGUGUCUGGUCAAACUGAAGCGACUACCAUAAAGGACGGAAGCAUGCAUUACUCUUCAAUAUAAUUCUUUCUCAUCGAAUUCUGCCCAAGUCUGCACGCAUAUAUAUAGAUUUAGACAGAAACAUUAAUUUAGAGAGGGAGUCAGACAUUACAAAUAAAGAGCAUAAUUUAGAAGAAACAAAUGAAUUGUCUGCAUAAGUUCUUUUAAGUUAAAGUGGCAAUGAUCUCUGCUUCUAAAACCUGUUCAUGUAAACAGUGGAAACACAUCACCAUGAAGGUCUAUAUUAAGUGUUUAUGAAGAUUCUAAACUACGGUUGUCAUCUAUUUUCACACAAACAUCAGCCUGACUCCAUGUUUAUGCAGCAGGUA